GACGAACGCUGGCGGCGUGCUUAACACAUGCAAGUCGAACGGUAAGGCCCUUCGGGGUACACGAGUGGCGAACGGGUGAGUAACACGUGGGUGAUCUGCCCUGCACUUCGGGAUAAGCCUGGGAAACUGGGUCUAAUACCGGAUAGGACCACGCGCUUCACGGUGUGUGGUGGAAAGCUUUUGCGGUGUGGGAUGGGCCCGCGGCCUAUCAGCUUGUUGGUGGGGUAAUGGCCUACCAAGGCGACGACGGGUAGCCGGCCUGAGAGGGUGACCGGCCACAAUGGGACUGAGAUACGGCCCAGACUCCUACGGGAGGCAGCAGUGGGGAAUAUUGCACAAUGGGCGCAAGCCUGAUGCAGCGACGCCGCGUGAGGGAUGACGGCCUUCGGGUUGUAAACCUCUUUCAGUAGGGACGAAGCGCAAGUGACGGUACCUACAGAAGAAGGACCGGCCAACUACGUGCCAGCAGCCGCGGUAA
rnacentral:rRNA from 1 species